ACAUGGUUCAAACUUAUAAAUAAAGACUUAUCUCAUCCUGUGGGCCUCUCAUAGUGUCCCGUGCUAGAGCAAACUGGCUCCUAACCAUUGCCCAGCCUCGGUGCAUGUAGGCUGCUGGCACUGAAGUGGGUCACACAGUG
ensembl:snoRNA LOC120101250 small nucleolar RNA SNORA42/SNORA80 family